GCAUAGACUGCUUGGAUACAAGCCUGGCUGCUCAGACUCUAUUAAUGGGGCUUCCCUUUUGAUGGGGUCUGAGAGCCUCAGACUGGUGAGCAGGAUGGUGCCACAGUCCCUACUCCUCAUCCUCCUUGUGCUCUGGGUCUCAGGUGUCACUGGGGACAUUGUGAUGACCCAGUCUCCAGCCUCCCUGGCUGUGUCUCCAGGAGAGACCACCACCAUCAACUGCAAGUCAAGUCAGAGUGUUUUUCACAACACUGACAAGAAGACCUACUUUUAUUGGUUCCAGAAGAAACCUGGACAGGCUCCUAAACUGCUCAUCUACUAUGCAUCCACCCGGGCAUCUGGGGUCCCUGACCGAUUCACUGGCAGUGGGUCUGGGACAGAUUUCACUCUCACCAUCAGCAGGUUCCAGCCUGAGGAUGUGGCAGAUUAUUACUGUAUGCAAGCUACCAGCUAUCCUCCCACAGUGCUUCAGCCUCGAACACAAACCUCCUCCCCAGGUUUUGGGUCGGUGAGUCCUGCUGCAGCAGCUGUUUCCUCCCCUCACAGCCCUGAACAUGCACACUUCCUCUGAGUCCCCAAAAGUCAGUGUCUCCUGAAUCAUUUCUCUGAGGGUUUGCUGGCCGAGGCAAAUGUUAAGGGACUCGGCAUUUCCUGUAGCUCUUUGUGGAAGAUUACUAAAGAAAAAUGCUGUAAAAUUCUCUAAUAGAGAUUUUUAGGAAUUUUCUAAAACAGGAAAUUGCAUGUUUCACAUGAACAGUUCACAUUUCUCACUCAAUAAACUUCUAUCUCUACCCAGUGAA